rnacentral:rRNA from 1 species
CCGGUUGAUCCUGCCAGACCUGACUGCUAUCGGAUUGAUACUAAGCCAUGCGAGUCUUUGUAGUAAUACAAGGCAGACGGCUCAGUAACACGUAGUCAACCUACCCUAUGGACGAGAAUAAUCUCGGGAAACUGAGCAUAAUUCUUGAUAGAUCAUAAUGCCUGGAAUGGUUUAUGGUUAAAAUGAUUCGUCGCCAUAGGAUGGGACUGCAGCCUAUCAGCUUGUUGGUGAGGUAAUGGCCCACCAAGGCGAUUACAGGUACGGGCUCUGAGAGGAGAAGCCCGGAGAUGGGUACUGAGACACGGACCCAGGCCCUAUGGGGCGCAGCAGGCGAGAAAACUUUGCAAUGUGCGAAAGCACGACAAGGUUAAUCCGAGUGAUUUCUGCUAAAGAAAUCUUUUGCCAGUCGUAAAACCGCUGGUGAAUAAGGGGUGGGCAAGUUCUGGUGCCAGCAGCCGCGGUAAU